GACGAACGCUGGCGGCGUGCUUAACACAUGCAAGUCGAACGGAAAGGCCCUGCUUUUGUGGGGUGCUCGAGUGGCGAACGGGUGAGUAACACGUGAGUAACCUGCCCUUGACUUUGGGAUAACUUCAGGAAACUGGGGCUAAUACCGGGUAGGAGCUCCUGCUGCAUGGGGGGGGUUGGAAAGUUUCGGCGGUUGGGGAUGGACUCGCGGGUUAUCAGCUUGUUGGUGGGGUAGUGGCUUACCAAGGCUUUGACGGGUAGCCGGCCUGAGAGGGUGACCGGCCACAUUGGGACUGAGAUACGGCCCAGACUCCUACGGGAGGCAGCAGUGGGGAAUAUUGCACAAUGGGCGGAAGCCUGAUGCAGCAACGCCGCGUGCGGGAUGACGGCCUUCGGGGUGUAAACCGCUUUCGCCUGUGACGAAGCGUGAGUGACGGUAAUGGGUAAAGAAGCACCGGCUAACUACGUG
rnacentral:rRNA from 1 species